GAGGCUUUGACCUCUGGGUCCCAAAGGAGUUGGGACUUACAAGGCUGUCAGGCGAUGAGGUUGGAUUGUAGGCAUUCUUCAUUGGCCCUCAGAACAUCCCUGAGACUCGUCAUUGCUUCUACUGUUCUAGGGAGGAUAAUCUGGAGGUACACAUUGACUGGGAACCUGCCCAAAUAUUACACAAAUCUAACCGAGAAUCAAAUCCAAAUCUUUGGACAUAUGUGAAAAACAGAAAGAGAAGACAAAUGGAGUGCAUGUGUCUGCAUCAGCGAACUACAUUAUUUCUCAGGUGAAGACUGCUGAAGACAACCUGGUAGACUCGAGAUAAAAAAGAUUAUUGCAGAAAAAGAAGGAUACACAAGUGGUAAAAGAUACACUUUAACAAGGUCCUGAAAGUCGGCAACAUAGGAAGAA